ACGAUGGAGAGUUUGAUCCUGGCUCAGGAUGAACGCUAGCGGCAGGCCUAAUACAUGCAAGGCGAGGGGUUCGCAAGGACACCGU
rnacentral:rRNA from 1 species